AUUGAACGCUGGCGGCAGGCCUAACACAUGCAAGUCGAGCGGAUGAAGGGAGCUUGCUCCUGGAUUCAGCGGCGGACGGGUGAGUAAUGCCUAUGAAUCUGCCUGGUAGUGGGGGAUAACGUCCGGAAACGGGCGCUAAUACCGCAUACGUACUGGACGAGAAAGUGGGGGAUCUUCGGACCUCACGCUAUCAGAUGAGCCUAGGUCGGAUUAGCUAGUUGGUGGGGUAAAGGCCUACCAAGGCGACGAUCCGUAACUGGUCUGAGAGGAUGAUCAGUCACACUGGAACUGAGACACGGUCCAGACUCCUACGGGAGGCAGCAGUGGGGAAUAUUGGACAAUGGGCGAAAGCCUGAUCCAGCCAUGCCGCGUGUGUGAAGAAGGUCUUCGGAUUGUAAAGCACUUUAAGUUGGGAGGAAGGGCAGUAAGUUAAUACCUUGCUGUUUUGACGUUACCAACAGAAUAAGCACCGGCUAACUUCGUG
rnacentral:rRNA from 1 species